UCGAGGAUCUUUGGCAAUGAGCGCAAGCUUGACCAAGCGACGCCGCGUGUGCGAUGAAGGCCUUCGGGUUGUAAAGCACUGUCGAGGGGGAUCAAAGGGCAAACUUGAGUGAUCCCUGGAGGAAGCACGGGCUAAGUUCGUGCCAGCAGCCGCGGUAAGACGAACCGUGCGAACGUUGUUCGGAAUCACUGGGCUUAAAGGGCGCGUAGGCGGCUUGUCAAGUCAGGGGUGAAAUCUUUCGGCUCAACCGGAAAAGUGCCUUUGAUACUGACAAGCUAGAGGGAAGUAGGGGCAUGUGGAACUUCUGGUGGAGCGGUGAAAUGCGUUGAUAUCAGAAGGAACGCCGGUGGCGAAAGCGACGUGCUGGACUUCUUCUGACGCUGAGGCGCGAAAGCUAGGGGAGCAAACGGGAUUAGAUACCCCCGUAGUCC
rnacentral:rRNA from 1 species